UCUGCUAGAAUUUAACUUAGUCGUAAUUAGGCAGUUAAAGCAAACUGUUAACUUACAUCGAUAAGAUGUAUCAUUAUAUUGAAAGUGUAUCAUUAUAUAUCAAUUCUUUUUUCAUGAAAGUCUAACAAAUUAUCAAAAGUGAAAUAUCAAACAAGAAACUGCACGUGUAGUUGGAAAAUACGAAAAUUUUACAUAGUUCUCUACAUAAUAUCUGUGUGUGUGUAGAUUACUAGAAAAUGGUUGGAAUGAUGUAAUCACAACUCACAUAAUUAAAAUACCACAUAAUUAAUUGCGUGUAUACUAAUAGUCCGAUAGUAGUAAAAAGAGCAUCGAUCAAAUGGUGAUAAUACGGGAAGUAAAGAAAAAGGUACAUCUCAACAACUCGAAUACAUCACGGAGAAAAAAAAUUAAGCAAAUAAAAUUUAGAAACGAAUAACAGCCAUCAAUAAUAUUAGAGGACAACGAUCAUCAAUACGAAGGAUGGAUUUGAAAAAAGAGCGACGAAAAUAACAUAGAUAUAAAUAACAAUGACGUAGCAAGGACGAAUACUGAGAGAAGAAAAUCUCACGAAGGCACGAUUACACGAAUAGAAUCAAGAUGAAUAUAACACUGAUGUAUUUGACGUCUAUAUAUUAUCAACUAUGCGGAGUAUUCCAUCAGAAACGCAACAACAACAGUAAAUAAUACAGCAAAUUAUGGGAGUCUACAUCAUCAAAGAAAAUGGUAGUACAUUUCCCCGUCGAGCAAGACAAAUAGUUAAUAUUAAAAAGAAAACAUGUAUAAAAAAUGGACAGUGUAUAAUUUAUUCCAAUAACUUGGUAUAAAUUACAUAUAUAUUAAACGCGGACAUCACAAAAAUGUUGGCAAAAAUGUAAUCUUCCAACCAAAUAAUAGUUCCGUACUCAUCAAGUUUGAGCUAAACAUGGUAAUGUAUGUCGACGAUUUAAUCACGGCCACUCACGCAUCUAGUGAAGCUAUAAAAAUCAGAGACGAAAUACUUAACAUCGCGUCAAAGGAUGGUUUUGCAUUACGGCAAUGGGCCUUCAAUGAAGAAAGUCUAAUCUCGGAUUUGGUCAACUGUUCAACGAACAUGCAUAUUCGUUGAGAUCUGGAAGAGACUAUCUCACUCUUGGGGUAGUUUGAAAUCCAUAGUCAAAAUCACAUAAUAUACGGCAUAAAAAUUGAUGAAAUCAAUUAAACACUAAGCGUAACAUCCUUUCUCAUAUAGCAAAAUUAUUCCAUCCGCUCAUCUCGGUCCGCUCGUUCAGUCUAUUCGGUUCGAUUAUCGCUAAAGCAAAAAUAAUAAUAUAGUAAUUUUGGCUAAUUGACGUUGGAUAGGACAAACCGGUUCCUGACUAAAUUCAUACGUCAUGGAUCGCAUAUUGAGAUCAGCUAGCGUCAUUAGAUGGAUUACGCCUUCCUCACAAAGCAAUCGUGGUUAAUUAUACAAGCAUUCAGCUGCACGGAUUUUGUGAUACGAAUGAAUGGGCUUAUGGCACAUGUAUCUACAUAUCUAUGAUUUACAUCGACCGAUGGAAGGGUGCAAACUUCACUUCUUCGUGCGAAAUCAUGGGUGGUGUCGGGUUUUCAUUAACCGUCCCGAGAUUGGAAUUGAACGCCGCGCUUUGGAAAAGUACACAAUGUAUUGUGAAAGGUAUUAACGAUCGUAUAUGUCACUAAGAUGAUUUUUUGAUUCAACUCGACCAUUUGUUUAAUUUGGAUCAUCUUGCUUCGUCUGUUUAAGACGUUCGUAAUUAAUUGCGUCGUUGAAAUCAGAAGCAUAGAGACGAAUGAAAUAAUAUUGAAAUAAACUCUUUAUUUUGAUGAAAUAAUACUUUCAUUUAUAGUAUAAAUUCAUUAAGACAUUUUUUAAAACAUUUCAACGAUUAUAGAAAAGAGUAAUGCAAGUUAUAAGAAUAUGAGAAUAACGGCAUUUCACGCGAUAAUUUCUAGUUUUUGAGAUCAUUUUUAAAGUUUAUUGCUAAUUUUCGUUUAAUUUCGAAUCAGUAGGUCUAACGGAGUAACAUGGUGAAUUUUAUUAUUUAUUUUUAUGUAUAAAAAAAAAUAAAAUAUAAAAAAUAAAUUACUUGCACUUUUCUGGUCCGGAUUCAAAUAUCGUAUUCUUAUUUUCUAAUCUUUCUUUUUUUUUUCUUUUACGAAAAUUAAUUUCUAAUACGAAGUAUUAAUUGGUAAGAGGGAUUAUGAAGGAUUAUUAAAUAAUACUUUUUUCCGCGCAAAAAAUAAUUACUUCAGAAACACAAAUUAUAAAGAAAUAUUUUAUAAUAAAGAUUAUGAUAUCGUAUUAUUUGCGUUAUCUACUAUUAAAGCGUUAUUAUGGGAUGGAAAUAUAAUUUCACAAAAUUUGCCAUAUAUUUGUACUUGAAAUUUCAUUUAUUCAAGUGGAAACAGGAAAAAAUACUCUCUGACAUCUGAUUAAUUAUACAUUGUGAGUAUACAAACAGUACGUAAAACUUUAUAAUGUAAAUUUAACAACGAUACGUUUAGUCUUUCUUUGUUUUUUUAUGACAAAGUUAUACUUAACAGACUUUUUAUAUUAAAGAAAAAAAUUGUUGCAUUGUUUCAAUUACAUUCUAUUUUAUGUUAGAAUUACGUAUUAUGAAAUAGAAAAUUUGCAUUUAACUUUGUAUUAUAUUAUAUAAUUGCAAGUGGCUUUAGAUCAAAUUAUGUAGUUAACAACAAUUUGGGUUUUAUUAAAUACAAAAAUAAAUAGAUUUUUUAUUCUCUCACGAGAUAUACAAAUAUUCUGUCGUCUCACUGUAUACAUUAACUCAACAUUCAAUAAAUGUUCAAUAAAAAUUCAACAUGU